rnacentral:rRNA from 1 species
CCCUUAGAUGUUCUGGGCCGCACGCGCGCCACACUGUUCGACGCAGCGAGUCUUAACCUUGACCGAAAGGUUUGGGUAAUCUUCAGCAAAGUCGAACGUGAUGGGGAUCGAUCAUUGCAAUUAUUGAUCGUGAACGAGGAAUUCCUAGUAAGUGCAAGUCAUCAGCUUGCGCUGAUUACGUCCCUGCCCUUUGUACACACCGCCCGUCGCUACUACCGAUUGAAUGGUUUAGUGAGAUCUCUGGAUUGACGCUGGCUAGGGGGCGACCCUUGGCCAGACUGCUCGAGAAACUGCUCAAACUUGAUCAUUUAGAGGAAGUAAAAGUCGUAACA